rnacentral:lncRNA from 1 species
CGUGAUCCUGCAGAGUUAGAGAAUGGUAAAUUUGGGAGGCUAUGUUUGCUAACUCGCCAGUUCUGCUUAAGAUUCGUUUCUGUAUUAAUGUAAGAUGUCAUUCUGAGGAUCUAUUUGCAUGUUUUUGUGAUACAGAAAGUGAACUUGGAAACUACUUACAAAACUACCUGCUUCGUCGAAAGGCUAAUCUACUGGUUUGCUCAGAUUCCAGAUUUACUUCUCUUAUCGUCACUGUUGUAUAUGUUUCAUGAGCAAAAUAUGGGAUUUAUAUAACUCAAAUCUCACCCUUUGACCAUGACAGAGUGACAAUCUCAACAACCUCUCAAAGGACAGGAAAUAUAUAACAGAUGGUAGGUUCUCUUAGUUCCCUUUGCUGGUUUUUUUCUUCUGCAGGAUAUGAUGCUAUCACCAUAACUUCUGUUGAAUUUUCAGUUUUAGUACUUCAGAAUGGUUUCUUUUUCUCCAAGCUAAAAGACUUGGUUCUUAUGGAUGGUUUUAUUUAAAAGGACUACCUCGGUUAGCCUGCUCAUGUGAUUCAGAAAACUUAGGUGCAAAUGUUGCUUCCCAGAUGAAAGUUAGGUGGGGAUCUUUCUCAUCAUAAGAUUAAGUUCAGAAGCUUGUGAAUUAAUUGACUGCCGAGGUAAUGUUUUGAGUUGCAUGUGCAUAGGGAUAACGAUGAUGACACCAUGGCACGGGACUUACUUCUCGGGCUGCGAGCUGAAGUUCAGGUGUGUGAGAAGACGAUUAAAGAACAGAAGGAAACCCGGACUGGUAUACAUUCUGAAAUGAUGGUAAUUAUUGACGCAUUUCUGAUGUCCUUGAGUUGAUUCUCUGAGAACCCUUACUGUUAUUGGAUCCAAUCGAAAAUGAUAGAUCAGUCAAACUCUUUUGCAGGAAGCUCUGGAUGAAGUGAGGAAACUCCGUGAAACUAACCUGCGAAUACAGAAGAAGAAUAGCAGUUUACUUACAAGUGAGGAAGCAGAACAUUUCAUUUCAUUUCAUACUGAUGAAUUUUGUGAAUUCCUUAUUUACACAUCUCAACUGUCACGGAAGUAGGGGGUGGGAGUCAGUCGGUUCGGUUAAUAGGCGCCCAUAUUUGGUCAGUUCGGUGAAUAACCGACCAUAUUCAGCCGGCUCGGCUAGUGACUGACCUUAUGCUGCAGUUAAUUAGGAUUGUAUACAGAAUAAGGUAACCAAUCAACCGACUAACAUGGUGAUGAUCGGUUAAUUGCUUAAUGGAAGUAAGUCGGUUCCGGGUAAAAUAAGUGGUUCCGGGGGUAAAGUAAGUAUAAAUAUGAAGACGGUUAAAGUUAAGUUC